AUCUCGUGGCGCGGGCAUUUUUGUAAUAAUUCUUUGAAUCUCUCCUACGCCUCAUACAAGGAUUCAUCAUCCAACUGCUGAAAUGUGGUGAUCUCUUUUUGUAGUU
rfam:Gossypium raimondii Chr09_contig_1052, whole genome shotgun sequence.